UCCGUAAGAUAACUUGCUGUGUAAAGAUAGCCAGUUCCGCUAAAGGCUGCUCCUGGGAAAGUGGGUGCCUUGUGAAGUUCCACGUCGCUCCAGAUUUCAGAGACAGAUGCUGCUUCAUGUACCCAGGACUUGUUUCAACUUCAGCUAAUUCAGAUCAGGAAGCCGAUCCAACUCAUCAUUUGUUGCAACGGCUGGAGCUGGCAGGACAGGGAACUGCAGCCAGAAACUGCAAUGUGUGAAGAUACAUAGCAAGAGCACACUAUUGUGACAUGCCAGGCACCCAAGCCCAUCUAUCCUGUCCCCAGGGCAGAAGGGGGAUAAGAUGCAUGACCUUUGCAGUGCUGCUGAUUACUACCUCACAAUGAAGGCUGUGGAUGUCAGUUUGACAGCCAGAAAGAGACGUCAAGAGCGUGGACCUUGGGGUAAAAAACACAAAUUACUUAGAAUAAUGGUGCAGCUUUACUGCGUUUAUAGCAUUGAGCAGCCUCUCUUGGAUCUCCGAGUCAGAUGUUGCCAAGUAAAUCCAGUAUGUGAAGAAACUAUACCUUUUAAUGCACAAGUGAUUAAGGAUAUGUAAACCACAAUAAAUCUUCUAAGAUCAGGGGCAAUAAGCUGAGUUCUGCAAGUAGAACUUCCUAAAUGCAGCUGCAACUAGUCCACUUUCUUCAUACAUCUUGUUUUUUUAAGAGUCAAAUGUUGAGCUUAUGAUUAUAAUUCAAGCCAGUUUUAUAAACAUGUUUCUAGUUAUCUGCACACUUGCUUCUUGCCAUGUAUGUUAGACUACUGUAACUAAAAGGGAGCCUUCAGUAAAAGCACUGUUCUGUUUCAGUACUGCAUAUACAGAGCAUUGUUUUAGAAAGUAACAAUUACCUGAGGAGCAAUCCUAUUAACAAUUUCUGAAAUUUCUACUGCACAUCUACUGGUAAGCUGUUUGGUUUUUCCUUUGCCUAAGAAAAUAAUAAUAAUAAAAAAAAAAACUUAAAAAAUGGCAAAACUUUACAAUUUAUAAAGUUCAUUAUAGCUCAAAUUACACUUGAUGAAGUCCGAAGUUCAUAUAACACUAUACUGAGCAAUCUGGGGGAUUUUAAUAAAAGUAAAAUCAAACCAAACACCUCUGGACUCACCAGGUGCUGUCACGAUACAAGAAGGGGCAUUUUUCCAAUAAAUUUGAACUUUUAUCACAGAAUCAUUUGACCUGGAAGGGAUCUUUAAAGGC